rnacentral:rRNA from 2 species
UACGUAGGUGGCAAGCGUUGUCCGGAUUUACUGGGCGUAAAGGGCGUGCAGGCGGUCUGUUAAGUCUAGGGUGAAAGCUCCCGGCUCAACUGGGAGAGGUCCUUGGAUACUGGCGGACUUGAGGGAGGCAGAGGAGAAUAGAAUUCCCGGUGUAGUGGUGAUAUGCGUAGAUAUCGGGAGGAAUACCAGUGGCGAAGGCGGUUCUCUGGGCCUUACCUGACGCUGAGACGCGAAAGCGUGGGGAGCGAACCGG